CGUCAAAUCAUCAUGCCCCUUAUGUCUUGGGCUACACACGUGCUACAAUGGCUGAAACAAAGUGACGCAAGCGCGCGAGCGUAAGCAAAUCACAAAAAAGCAGUCCCAGUUCGGAUUGCAGGCUGCAACCCGCCUGCAUGAAGUUGGAAUCGCUAGUAAUCGCGAAUCAGCAUGUCGCGGUGAAUACGUUCCCGGGCCUU
rnacentral:rRNA from 1 species